rnacentral:rRNA from 1 species
AUCCCAUAAACCGUGGCUCAGUUCAGAUCGUAGGCUGCAACUCGCCUACGUGAAGGAGGAAUCGCUAGUAAUCGCAGGUCAGCAUACUGCGGUGAAUACGUUCCCGGGCCUUGUACACACCGCCCGUCACACCAUGGAAGUUGGCCACGCCCGAAGCCGUUACUCCAACCCUCGGGAGGAGGACGUCGAAAGUGGGGCUGAUGACUGGGGUGAAGUCGUAACAAGGUAUCCGUACCGGAAGGUGCGGAUGGAUCACCUCCUAA